ensembl:lncRNA
UUCAAGAUUCAAGACUCUUUACUGUGAUUAUCCAAGCAUAACAAUAUUAAACCAAUAUGUAGUAGUGAAAACAAAUGGAAAUGUAAAUAUACAGAUUUAACACAAUAUAAUAGAUGCUGCACAACAAACCCCGACCUCAGAAUCUGCAAAUCAGAAUAAAUAAAUAAAAUAAUAUUGAUUUCCAAACAAUUAAUCUAAAAAAAUCUUUUCAUAUAUGUCCUUGAAAAGGUUGAAUACAAAAUGAAACAGAACACCGCAAAAACAAAAGAAUGAAACAAACAAAGGAAACAAAAACAGUAGAAAUGUCUGAACCAGAAAACACUGAUCUGUGUAUUACAACAAGUUUGAUUUUAUAACUUAAACUUUGGUUCACUACAUCUGCUCUUCAGUCUAAGAAAUUAAAAAAAAAAUGUUUGUGUGCUUUGGCACAAAGCGCUUGAGCAGUAACUGCACAUUCGAUUUCCAGCAGCACAUCAUAUUAUAUAUCCAGUGACAGAUGGAUGUUCCGAUCAGUCCCCAAAAGCAGCUUAAAUGAAUUCAAGUUAAAGUACGAAACUUUUAACGCAUCUCAAGAAUUGAUAAUACGAUGACCGAGCCUGACUCUUACUGCCACAGCGAACGAUCUGAUUGUUUAGUACAUGAGAGAUUUUAGUGUUGGUGAUUUUGUUCAGAAACUAACUUAACUUUGUCAUCAAGAAUUAUUAGUUUGAUGGGCAGCCAUGAUGUUUUUUUUACACAAGGUUACUAAAAAACAAACAAAGAAAAGUUCAUUUCAAGGCUUUCCAGAGUACUGGCUUUUCAUUCUGCUUUAGAUUUCCUGAGCUUUGAAGGACAUUUUUUUUUACCAAGGCUAUUUUAUACAUGUGAUCCUUCUUUUAAAAAAAACAAUUUAACAAUCAAAAAUAAUCUAGCUGUAAGAAAAGAAAGGGGCUACCUAUAUUUAGCCAGUUUGCCUCACGUGAUGACCUUUAGCCUAAUUUCUUCAUAGCUUGCAAAGCAGAUGAAAAACUGAAUGCAAAC